rnacentral:rRNA from 1 species
AUGCCACUAUUAGACAGCAAGACAAUCUCUUCCUUGUCCAUAGUAGGCUACCACAACAUGGGAGAGAACAGGAAGUUUGGACAAGUGAGCCGACAUGCAUUUAUCAUCCUGCCAAGGAUGACGACAAAUAAGAUACUGCACCACCAGGAGCUACAUGGCGAUGAAUCCAUCUCUGAUGUUUCAGGCAUAGUGGAUGAGACCUUGGGAAAGAGUCCCUUGGAUAGGCAGGAUACACUGAAAUACAGGGUGUUUGCUAGUACUUGGAAUAUCGGUGGUAUAGCACCAACAGAUGAUCUGGACUUGGAGGAUUGGUUGGAUACAAGAGCUAACUCCUACGACAUCUAUGUUCUAGGGUUCCAAGAAAUAGUGCCACUGAAUGCAGUAAAUGUGCUUGGUCCUAGCAAGAGGUGUAUCUCUACAAAGUGGAACUCACUAAUUGGGAAGGCACUAAACAAAAAGAAGACACGAGAUGGAGCACAGUUGCAGCAUACAACUACAAAUAGUAGUGCUAUCGAAAGCUUUGCACAAGAGGGGUGCUUUAUAUGCAUCAGGAGCAAGCAGAUGGUGGGCAUCUUUACCUCAGUCUGGGUGAGAAGCAAUCUGAGGUCAUACAUUCACCAUCUGGAUGUGUCAUGUGUUGGUUCAGGUAUCAUGGGCUAUCUAGGGAACAAGGGUUCAGUAUCAGUUCGAUUUCUGCUGCAUGAGACAAGCUUUUGUGUUGUUUGUUGUCACCUGGCUUCAGGUGGCAAACAAGGGGAUGUGCUGCUGAGGAACUUUGAUGCAGCGGAUAUACUUGCAAGGACGAGAUUCCAUGGUGGUCGAAAUAAAAAGCUGCCAAAGAAAAUCCUCGAUCACGACCAAGUUGUUUUGCUCGGUGACUUGAAUUAUAGGAUAUCACUGGAAGAGCCUGAGACAAGGUUGCUGGUGAAAGCUAAGAACUGGUCCACCUUGUUAGAGAACGAUCAGCUAGUGUCUGAAUUCUCAACGGGGCGGCUUUUUGAGGGCUUUCAGGAAGGGUCGGUCACCUUCUCCCCCACCUACAAGUAUCAGCCAAACUCUGAUCAGUACUACUGGUGCUUUGAAGCAGCGCGAGGGGAGAAGAAGCGUGCUCCCGCAUGGUGUGAUCGCAUUCUUUGGCGCGGCAAGGGCCUGAAACAGAUCCAAUAUGGGACCUGCGACUACAAGUUGUCAGACCACCGGCCGGUGAGAGCAGGUUUCAUUGCCGAGUGCAGGAUCAGGGGAGAUUCGGAGGACUCUAUUGGUGGCUUCAUGCGCUGA